rnacentral:rRNA from 1 species
CUACGGGUUGCACCAGUGAGGAAUAUUGCACAAUGGGGGGAACCCUGAUGCGGCAACGCCGCGUGGAGGAUGACGCAUUUCGGUGUGUAAACUCCUUUUAUAUGUCAAGAAAAUGACGGUAGCAUAUGAAUAAGCACCGGCUAACUCCGUGCCAGCAGCCGCGGUAAUACGGAGGGUGCAAGCGUUACUCGGAAUCACUGGGCGUAAAGGACGCGUAGGCGGGUUGGAAAGUCAGGUGUGAAAUCCUACAGCUUAACUGUAGAACUGCACUUGAAACUUCUAAUCUAGAGUAUGGGAGGGGGAGAUGGAAUUAGUGGUGUAGGGGUAAAAUCCGUAGAUAUCACUAGGAAUACCUAAAGCGAAGGCGAUCUCCUGGAACAUUACUGACGCUAAGGCGUGAAAGCGUGGGGAGCAAACAGGAUUAGAUACCCCAGUAGUC